rnacentral:tRNA from 1 species
GAGAGUAUAGCUCAGUGGUAGAGUGCGUGCUUAGCAUGCACAGGGUCCUGGGUUCAAUCCCCAUUACCUUCA